rnacentral:rRNA from 1 species
GACGAACGCUGGCGGCGUGCUUAACACAUGCAAGUCGAACGGAAAGGCCCUGCUUUUGUGGGGUCCUCGAGUGGCGAACGGGUGAGUAGCACGUGAGUAACCUGCACUUCACUUUGAGAUAACCUCAGGAAACUGGGGCUAAUCCGGGAUAGGAGCUCCUGCUGCAUGGUGGGGGUUGGAAAGUUUCGGCGGUUGGGGAGGUACUCGCGGCUUAUCAGCUUGUUGGUGGGGUAGUGGCUUACCAAGGCUUUGACGGGUAGCCGGCCUGGGAGGGUGACAGGACACGUUGGACUGGAGAUGAGACACAGCCCCGUCUGGGACGCGACGGAGGAGAGUAGUGCACAGUGGGCGGAAGGCAGAUGUGACAACGCCGCGCGCGGGAUGAGAGGAAGCGGGUUGUAUAGCGAAUUUGCCUGAGACGAGGCGUGAGUGACGGUAACGGGUGAAGAAGCACCGGCUAACUACGUG